CAAGGCUGGGGGCUAGCUGUCUAUGUUCAAGUUAUCAAUGAAUCUUCAGUGGAAAAAGAGAUAUAUACAUAUAUUUUAAAUAUCUCUUUUGUAUAUAAAUGCUAUUGGGAGGCAGAGCUGAAUAUCUGUAAGGAGUGUACCAGUGGUGGUGAACUUACUGAAAUGUCAAAACUAAACCAAGCAAAACUUCCCACUUCAAGAACUUGAAUCAUGACCUUCCUUACUGAAGUAUAAAGUUUAAAAGUGAAGAGUGACUUCCGUUUGUAACUCACUGCUACGAUGCCACUGCUGCUUUUAUUUUCAGUGUAGUCAGAUUCCAAAGACUGGAGUUCUUUUGCUUUUGUACAGUACAGUUAAUUUCUUUCUUGAAACAGGCAUAGAAGAAACCAGAGAUUUAAAUCUCCUCUUUCCUGCUGAAGCUAAAUCACUCAGACGAGUCUAAAUGGGAGUACCAUGUGUAAAUAAGGAGAAUAAAAUCCUGUACCGGAUUAUUAAUGUAACUGGGUCAUCACCUGUUGAGGUGAUCCAGGGGCAUGUUUUUUUCAUGGCCAUUAACUCAGAUCUCAUACAACUUCCCAUUCCAUUUCCUGCUCUGUCCAGCCUCUGGUAAUAAUGUGACUAUGCCUGGAAAGUUUGAGAAAAAUGCUGCCUUUUUGGAGAAUCACAAUAGCAUACAGAGGGAGUCGAUUAUCCUCGGACAGGCACCAUUCAAAUUCCCAGUAGCACAAGAAGUGCCAAGAAAACCCCAGAAAGUUCAGUGGCUUUGUUUGGCUUGGAAAAACACUCAGAAAUUUGGCUUUUAAUUUCUUCAUGAUCCCUACAGCAUGCUUCAUCCUAACUGGAGCCUGACUGAAGUCACAUUGUUUCCUAGAUCAAAUAUACCAUUGGAGCUGUAUGCAAGCAUGGGACUUCUAAAUGCAUUAUGGGCCUGGGCUUCAGUCAUGAGGAGCUUUUCUACUGUCUUCAAGGUUUUAGUUUAGACUGUGUUUGGACUAUGAGUGUCUGCCAAGUUAAAGUACAGUUCUCACAAGGUUUCCAGAUCAUCCUGUUACUAGGUGGGCAACUCCUCCCCCCAAAAAAGAAGAGCCUUUGGAAUUUGAUUGGCCUUCUGGACUGGAAGCAGAAGUAAUCAAAUGGAAAGAAAAGCUUGGAGAGGAGAAGGGAUAUACAUCUCAAGGCUGUGAACAGAGCCAGUUUCAGCUGACUACUGGCAAAAUUCCACAUCCUUCUUUUCUAUAGACAGGUUUAUUGAAUCCCAUAUGUUAGGCUCUGCUUCAGUUCCAGAUUUUCCUGCUUUCAUUCUUUUGAAUGCAUCUGUCCUGUUAGUGUUUUUUCUUGGGAAUUAAGAGGCAUUAACAUUGCAUCCAGUUAUUUCCGUGAUUUCUCACUCUCAGAACAUGACAAACUCACUACAAAGGUUUUUCUGUCUUGCAUGUGCAUAUCAAAUGUGUGGAAGCCAAAGCAAAGAGGCAGUGCAUGUCCAAAAAGGACUUCUUGGCUUCCACUAGUGCUUAUGACUUUUCAGAAUGAAAGAUUAUUGAAUGUUUCCCAAAGCAGCAGCUGUACAAAUGAGACUUGCAUUGGGAGGAGGAAAUAUAUGCACUAAUCCUUGAACUGGUGAUCCAUGCCUAAAUAUCCUGGGGACAAGUUGAAAACUCAAAGGGAAAUACCUGUUAGCUUUCAGGAUCAUUGGUAUGCUAAAAUCUCCCCAAGCUUCUCUAUUUUCCUAUUAGUUUGGUUUGUGAAGUCUAUUUGUUGCCCUGAGGCAAGUAUGCUCCUAACGCUUUAUAUACUUCCAAUAGGCAUAAAUUAAUCUUUGACUUCAGUAGUACCCUACAAAGUCUAUGGAUCAUCAAGCCCUGGAAGUUAAAAAUAUUUUUGUAUGUUAAGAUUCUUUGACUCCCCUCCCUCACCUCCUCCCUUGUCACUUUAAACUAUUCCUGAAAAUUCACAGCCUCUGAUAAGUAUAUAAUAAAACUUGGUGAGAGAUGAUGAAGGGUAGAAAUUAGCCACAGUUUCUUCAUUGUCAGCAUUAUGCAAUCCAGGUUUGGAGCUCUUCUCAAACAUCUGCCAGUGCUUUUUCAUCACAGACUCAAGGGAAUGCCAGGAGCACUGAGCCCACUCAGACCUGCCUGAGCAUCAUUUGCAUGAUCUUUUAUCUAGGUCCAUGGAGUAUGUGCAGCUAUCUAAUCUCCUUCCAAUUAUCAUCGAGUAAUACAGCAUCUGAUCACAUGGCCUUUAGGCCUAUAUCCUACCAUCCAAAAUAGUGUCUAUAAAUAGGUCCUAAUUUUGUGUCCUUCAAUCCUAUGGUAUGUUCUGCUGAAGUGCAGAACCACUAUUAGCUGAUGCACACAGUUGAUUCACCAUCAGGUGGCCUAUCAUAUUUAUACUCUUGAAUUACAAAUGAAACUUAAAUUCUUGUAAUUAAACAUAUAAUUAGAAAAUUACUCAGAAGAAUUGUCUUCACAUCUGCGUAAUGAAAUUAAUUUCAGUAUUGUACUCCCCCCACAUAUACAGAUCCCAUAGCAAGAUCAGAAAGUGACCAAAUGCUGUGUAAGAGAAGGGUGCACAUGCAGACUUACAGAAGGGGAAGAAGGCAACUGCACUUUACCUUCCAGGUUAGCACAUCUUGAGUUUAGAGUGCUCAUUACAGCUUUCAAAUACCUGUGUAAAACCCCAGGUUACUCUCAAGCAGACAUUGUCCUGAAGGAUUUUAUAUGAGUCUUAUUUGAAGUCUAUAGAAAUUUUCCAUGAACAGAAAAAUUGAACUGAACAUUAAAUUGAUACAAUACAAGGUCUUGUGUUGGUCUUAUGUUUGUAUUUCCCUUUGAAUCAUCUUAGUGAAAAUUGUAAUAACAAGAGCAUAAAAAAUAAUUCAUGUUAGCAUCAGAAAUUAUUUUGUCCAUCAUCUUUUCAUUUACACCCUCUUUUUGACAUUGCUGUGACUCUAAGUGUUGCUAACACAUAAACAGAUCCUACUCUGUUAGUUUUGAAGCCUCACUUUUGCCUAUUACCUCUUUCUGAAGUUAUGUUCUCCCUCCCUCCUACACAACACUUUACAUGUCCACUAACCAUAAACAAGCCUCUGCUAUUCCAUUCCCUUCCAUCACUUGGCUGUUUGUGUCUGUUCCCCUUCCUCCAUACCUUGAAUCUGUGAAAGAAUAUCUGAGCAGCUGGGACAACUCCAUCACUGAUGAGAAAGAAGAAUCUCUGAGGGAUCACGUGGGAGCAGACGAUUUUGUCAGGUGAAUUGCUCAAGUCCCUUCUAGUCCCAUUUCUUUAUGUUUUGGUGAAGCUUGGAGCAUUCAGUGGAUGCUUUAAGGAUCGAGCUGACAUAUAUAUAUAUAUGUAACCGUAUAUAACCUUAUUUUAUGAAAGAAAGUGAACACACUAGUUAAAGGUGGUCAAAGACACCAGUUGUAAAAUAUGGAGUGUCGCUUCUGAUUGGUAAGUUUGUUAAUGUAACAUUAGAACUCUAAGAUCAGAGGUCCAGUAGUUGUUUCUUCAUAUUUAAAUUAAUGAACAAGAAUUUUGUAAAUAACAUCAAUAGUGGUUGAGAUGCUUGGUAAUUAUUGUCCUAUAUGAUUGGAUCUACAAAUUAUGUAGAUUUUGUAGUGGAUCUAAAAAUUAUUGUACAGCUGCAAUGGUCGUAAGUAAAUACUGUGAUUUAUAGGUUUUGCAGUUGCUUACACAUGGACCGAAUGCUUUAAAUAAAAGUACUAUGCU